rnacentral:rRNA from 1 species
GAUGAACGCUGGCGGCGUGCUUAACACAUGCAAGUCGAACGGUGAAGCAGAGCUUGCUCUGUGGAUCAGUGGCGAACGGGUGAGUAACACGUGAGCAACCUGCCCCUGACUCUGGGAUAAGCGCUGGAAACGGCGUCUAAUACUGGAUAUGAGCUGCGACCGCAUGGUCAGCAGUUGGAAAGAUUUUUCGGUCUGGGAUAGGCUCACGGCCUAUCAGCUUGUUGGUGAGGUAAUGGCUCACCAAGGCGUAGACGGGUAGCCGGCCUGAGAGGGUGACCGGCCACACUGGGACUGAGACACGGCCCAGACUCCUACGGGAGGCAGCAGUGGGGAAUAUUGCACAAUGGGCGAAAGCCUGAUGCAGCAACGCCGCGUGAGGGAUGACGGCCUUCGAGUUGUAAACCUCUUUUAGCAGGGAAGAAGCGAAAGUGACGGUACCUGCAGAAAAAGCGCCGGCUAACUACGUG